AACGGAAAGGCCCUGCUUGCAGGGUACUCGAGUGGCGAACGGGUGAGUAACACGUGGGUGAUCUGCCCUGCACUUCGGGAUAAGCUUGGGAAACUGGGUCUAAUACCGGAUAGGACCGCACUUUAGUGUGUGUGGUGGAAAGUUUUUUCGGUGUAGGAUGAGCUCGCGGCCUAUCAGCUUGUUGGUGGGGUAAUGGCCUACCAAGGCGGCGACGGGUAGCCGGCCUGAGAGGGUGUACGGCCACAUUGGGACUGAGAUACGGCCCAGACUCCUACGGGAGGCAGCAGUGGGGAAUAUUGCACAAUGGGCGCAAGCCUGAUGCAGCGACGCCGCGUGGGGGAUGAAGGCCUUCGGGUUGUAAACUCCUUUCGCUAGGGACGAAGCUUUUUGUGACGGUACCUAGAUAAGAAGCACCGGCUAACUACGUGCCAGCAGCCGCGGUAAUACGUAGGGUGCGAGCGUUGUCCGGAAUUACUGGGCGUAAAGGGCUCGUAGGUGGUUUGUCGCGUCGUCUGUGAAAUUCUGGGGCUUAACUCCGGGCGUGCAGGCGAUACGGGCAUAACUUGAGUGCUGUAGGGGUAACUGGAAUUCCUGGUGUAGCGGUGAAAUGCGCAGAUAUCAGGAGGAACACCGAUGGCGAAGGCAGGUUACUGGGCAGUUAU
rnacentral:rRNA from 1 species